AGAGUUUGAUCCUGGCUCAGAACGAACGCUGGCGGCAUGCCUAACACAUGCAAGUCGAACGAUCCCUUCGGGGAUAGUGGCGCACGGGUGCGUAACGCGUGGGAACCUGCCCUUAGGUUCGGAAUAACAGUUAGAAAUGACUGCUAAUACCGGAUAAUGUCUUCGGACCAAAGAUUUAUCGCCUUUGGAUGGGCCCGCGUUGGAUUAGCUAGUUGGUGGGGUAAAGGCCUACCAAGGCGACGAUCCAUAGCUGGUCUGAGAGGAUGAUCAGCCACACUGGGACUGAGACACGGCCCAGACUCCUACGGGAGGCAGCAGUGGGGAAUAUUGGACAAUGGGCGAAAGCCUGAUCCAGCAAUGCCGCGUGAGUGAUGAAGGCCUUAGGGUUGUAAAGCUCUUUUACCAGGGAUGAUAAUGACA
rnacentral:rRNA from 1 species